GGAGUUAGCCGGUGCUUCUUCUGCGAGUAACGUCACAGAUGUAAGGUAUUAACUUACACCCUUUCCUCCUCGCUGAAAGUGCUUUACAACCCGAAGGCCUUCUUCACACACGCGGCAUGGCUGCAUCAGGGUUUCCCCCAUUGUGCAAUAUUCCCCACUGCUGCCUCCCGUAGGAGUCUGGGCCGUGUCUCAGUCCCAGUGUGGCUGAUCAUCCUCUCAGACCAGCUAGGGAUCGUCGCCUAGGUGAGCCUUUACCUCACCUACUAGCUAAUCCCACCUGGGCUUAUCCAUCAGCGCAAGGCCCGAAGGUCCCCUGCUUUCCCCCGUAGGGCGUAUGCGGUAUUAGCAGUCGUUUCCAACUGUUAUCCCCCACAAAUGGGCAAAUUCCCAGGCAUUACUCACCCGUCCGCCGCUCGUCAUCUUCAAAAGCAAGCUUUUGAAAUGUUACCGCUCGACUUGCAUGUGUUAGUCCUGCCGCCAGCGUUCAAUCUGAACCAAGAUCAAAUUCUGA
rnacentral:rRNA from 1 species